UUGAGCCGUAUGCGGGGAAACUCGCACGUACGGUUCUUAGGGGGG
rnacentral:ribozyme from 1 species